GAGAGAGGCAGAAAAAGAGAGGGGUAUUUUUUUGCCCCUGUAUCCUCCGUUCCCCCCAUCAUUCAUUUUUCCUCCCCAUUGCUAUCACUUCCAGCCCUUUCUGUCCCCGUGCAGCCCACGCUCCCUCCUCCCUUCACCGCCUCCUUCCUCCUCCUCCUCCUCCCACUCUCACCGUCCACCUGCAACUUUGCCUACUUUUUUUUUUUACUCCACCACCGUUUUAAUUGUCUCACUUAAAGCACUCUACUAGAGAAAUCUUAAAUUGGCUCGUUUGUAUUUUGCGCCUUUUUUCACUUUUGUACCUUUUCCUAUUUUCCCCCUCUUCUCUUUUUUCCUCCUACCAUUCUAUGCAUCUUUUUUGGGUGAUUCUUAAUUCUAAUCAUAGGAGAUUUAAUGCCUCUCCUCUACGUUACUUGAAGAUAAUGGCAAAUGGGACUUUUGAGCAACUGUCGCCACGAUAAAGGCACUCUGGAUAUAGCUGCUUUUUCCUGUGGAGUUACCCUUAAAUCGUGGAUUUGACUUCAAAUAAAACAACAAAAAAUUAAAAAUACAGCUGUUGCAAUAUAUAUAUAUAUA